AAAUCCUACAGUUUCGCCCAACUUCAAACCGCAGAAGCUUAAACUCGACGGAAUCCAUCUCGCCGACUUCUACUCUUCGAUUCCUUGCAAUUCGCCACGGCGUCGAUGUCUUCCUCCGUCAGGAUGAUCGGCAAACAUAGCCGUCAACUUCACAGGGGGAUCACUUCAUGAAUCAAAGGAGGCCCUCGCUAUCGCAGAAACUGAUGGACGCCUCUAUUGUACGGUCGGUGUGCAUCCUACUAGAUGAAUUUGAAGACAGUGGGGACCCUGACCGAUAUUUCCAGGCGCUUGUGUCUUUAGCUCGGGAGGGCAUUGAGAAAGGCAAGGUACACUUCAAAUAACAUAUUUUUGUGCUGUCAGUUUGCUUGAACUGCAUAAUGUUUUGAUUGAUGAGGUAGGAACAUGGCUGUAUAGAUUGUGUUGUUCUCUCUGAGUCACAGCCAUAUGCACACUACAGUUAGAUCAUGUACUAAUGAAAGCCCAUCUGGCCGAGUUGUUACC